GCCGCGGUAGCUCAGUGGUAGAGCGCUACCCUGAAGAGGUAGGCGUCGGGUGUUCGAUUCACCCCCGCGGCACAA
rnacentral:tRNA from 2 species